CAUGUCCUUUUGAUAAUAAUUUAAGGUCUAAUCUGCUCAAUGAAUUUUAAAUUGCCGCAGUAUUUUGACUGUGCAAAGGUAGCAUAAUAAUUAGUUUAUUGAUUAUAAACUGGAAUGAAUGAUUGGACAAGAAAAUUUCUGUCUCUUUUUUAAAUUUUUUGAAUUUUAUUUUUAAGUUAAAAAGCUUAAAUGUUUAUAAAAGACGAGAAGACCCUAUAGAGUUUAAUAUUUAUAAUUAAUUAAAUGUUAGUAAAUUUUUUAAUUGUAUUUAUUUAUUUGGGGUGAAUUAAAAAUUUAAUAAAUUUUUUAAUUUUUUUAUUGGUGAUUACUAAAUUCUAAAUCUAUAAUUUAUAAAUUUAUAAUAAAUUACCUUAGGGAUAACAGCGUAAUUAUUUUUAAAAGUUCUUAUUUAAAAAAUAGUUUGCGACCUCGAUGUUGGAUUAAAAUUAAUUUUUGGUGCAGUAGCUAAAAAAUUAGGUCUGUUCGACCUAUAAAAUUUUACAUGAUCUGAGUUUAAACCGGUGUAAACCAGGUUGGAUUCUAUCUUUAAAAAAAUAAUAUAUUUUAGUACGAAAGGACCCAAUAUAUAUUAAAUUAAUUG
rnacentral:rRNA from 1 species